rnacentral:lncRNA from 1 species
AGAAGAAGAAUGGCUAAGAUCCUAAGCAAUGCAAAAGUGAGGGAUAAGAACAAAACCACAAAAGGAGUUCCUCUCUUGAGAUCAUAUGGAUGAUCCAAGUAGCUCCCAUCCUUUGGAAUAAGCAAUCACAUAAAUAUAAACCCAAGCAAUCAUCAAUCAAAUGAACUCUUGGAAGGCUCUUCAAGGCAUCUUGUAACCAUUUCUCUUAGAAGCUCA